UUUGACCUCAAAUCAGGUAGGACUACCCGCUGAACUUAAGCAUAUCAAUAAUAAGCAAGGA
rnacentral:rRNA from 1 species